rnacentral:rRNA from 1 species
CUACGGGGCGCACCAGUGGGGAAUAUUGCACAAUGGGCGCAAGCCUGAUGCAGCCAUGCCGCGUGUAUGAAGAAGGCCUUCGGGUUGUAAAGUACUUUCAGCGGGGAGGAAGGGAGUAAAGUUAAUACCUUUGCUCAUUGACGUUACCCGCAGAAGAAGCACCGGCUAACUCCGUGCCAGCAGCCGCGGUAAUACGGAGGGUGCAAGCGUUAAUCGGAAUUACUGGGCGUAAAGCGCACGCCGGCGGUUUGUUAAGUCAGAUGUGAAAUCCCCGGGCUCAACCUGGGAAGUGCAUCUGAUACUGGCAAGCUUGAGUCUCGGAGAGGGGGGUAGAAUUCCAGGUGUAGCGGUGAAAUGCGUAGAGAUCUGGAGGAAUACCGGUGGCGAAGGCGGCCCCUUGGACGAAGACUGACGCUCAGGUGCGAAAGCGUGGGGAGCAAACAGGAUUAGAUACCCCCGUAGUC